ensembl:lncRNA
AUGAUUUUAAUAAUAAAUAGACAAUAUGAUAAAUGUCUGUUUAUGUUACAGCCCUUCACAUGGCCCUGGGACAGAAGUGAGACUGCAAGAGCAAGAGAUUGUUCUGGCUCUAAAAGAGUGAUUGAUGAAAUUGUAGGACAAAACAACUCUUCGUUGGGCUGAAAUACUGAGGGUGAACAUACAGGAGCUGCUGUCUUCUGCACUAUAGUUUUGUUUACAGCAAUAUGGAACAAAGGUGCUACUUGUUUUAGAAAUGCAUCAGUGUAUCUGAGGAUAUCAUAUGACUUUUAAGAUAAAACAGUGCAUACUGUUCUGAAACAUUAAAGUUCUUAAAAAAAAAAAAAAACUUCAGUCUGCUUUUGUCACUCAAUUGCAUAAAGGAAUGACACCUGAUUACCCAACAUGUCUUUGAUACACCACAUCUUUGAUCCACAUGCAUGCUUCUAUGAUUUGCUGUAAUACGAUGCAGUAGUUGUAUACAUGGUGCAGUGUAGUCACUGCAGAUAGAAUGCUUACAGCUGAAGCCUGUUCACACUAUCUGGUGUUCGGUAGUUUAGGCAGUUUAAACACAUAAUGCUAAGACUGCUACUGUGCUUACUGUAGAGAUUAGGCCCUAAUACCCCAACAGCAAGAAGAGAAGUGUUCAAAUUAGGGCAAAUGCAACUGUUUCUGUAGCUUUUUCAGGCUUGAAACUUGGCCUCGAAGUCUGAUAGGGGCACUGCAUAAUCUGUUUCUGCAGCAGCAGCAUUUAUUCUAGCUAAUUGUACAUGUCUUCUCUAAAUAGUGGUUCAAAUAUGAACUGAAGCCUGUUCACACUAUCUGGUGUUUGGUAGUUUAGGCAGUUUAAACACAUAAUGCUAAGACUGCUACUGUGCUUACUGUGGAGAUUAGGCCCUAAUACCCCAACAGCAAGAAAAGAAGUGUUCAAAUUAGGGCAAAUGUAACUGUUUCUGUAGCUUUUUCAGGCUCGAAACUUGGCCUCGAAGUCUGAUGGGGGCACUGCAUUAUCUGUUUCUGCAGCAGUAGCAUUUAUUCUAGCUAAUUGUACAUGUCUUCUCUAAAUAGUGGUUCAAAUAUGAACUGAUUUCCAGAUGGGAAGAAAGGGAAAAAGAUCCUAUGUAGCUUGACAGCUGUCUUUGUUGUAACUGAUGAAGAGUAAAAAAAGGCAGAUGUUGCUGACCAUUUUGCCCACUUGGUGUCACCAAGUGAAAGAUUUUAAUGUACUUCAGAGUGUAUAUAGAAAGCAGGUAAUGAUAUUAAUGAACUAAUUGCAUGUGACUGUAUGCUUAUGCAGUGGGAAUGGGAAUCUAAAGCUUUUAGAUUAGCUGUACAGCUCCAAGUGGAACAUACAUUGAUGUUGCUUUUGAAAGGGACGAAACUUCCAUCCUAUAAGUAAAAAAAGGCAGAUGUUGCUGACCAUUUUGCCCACUUGGUGUCACCAAGUGAAAGAUUUUAAUGUACUUCAGAGUGUAUAUAGAAAGCAGGUAAUGAUAUUAAUGAACUAAUUGCAUGUGACUGUAUGCUUAUGCAGUGGGAAUGGGAAUCUAAAGCUUUUAGAUUAGCUGUACAGCUCCAAGUGAAGUGGAACAUAACAUUGAUGUUGCUUUUGAAAGGGAUGAAACUUCCAUCCUAUUUGAAGUUCUUAGGAUGUGUGCCAGAAAACAGCCCUUAAGCAAGGCUGACACAGCAGCUGUCAGUCAAAAAUGGUAGUUCAGAAGUAGCAAGAAGUUAGGAAUGACCUAGAAGCCAUUUUGUACAGUUCAUUUGCACCCUUUGAAAUAGCUGGUCAAAUAUCAAAGUUGAAAAAAAUAAACUGAAUGAAUAUGGCUCUGUCA